CCGUCGCCGAGGUCGUGCGUGCGUGCCACGCCCAGGGGUCAUGCACCGGGACCUCAAGCCCGAGAAGUUCCUGUACGCGGGCAAGAGCCCAGACGCACGACUCAAGGCCAUCGACUUCGGCCUCUCCGUCUUCUUCAGACUAGCUUUUAGUGGCUUUAAAAGUUCGCUACCCUCACAGGAUCACCAUUCUCAGAGGGAACCAUGAAAGACGACAGAUUACUCAAGUUUAUGGAUUCUAUGAUGAGUGUCUAAGGAGUAA